rnacentral:rRNA from 1 species
GAUGAACGCUAGCGAUAGGCUUAACACAUGCAAGUCGAGGGGCAGCGAGGGUAGCAAUACCUGUCGGCGACCGGCGCACGGGUGAGUAACGCGUAUGUAACCUGCCCGCAACAGGGGGAUAACCCGGCGAAAGUCGGACUAAUACCGCAUAAAACAGGGGUCCCGCAUGGGAAUAUUUGUUAAAGAUUUAUCGGUUGCGGAUGGGCAUGCGUACCAUUAGGUAGUUGGUGAGGUAACGGCUCACCAAGCCUUCGAUGGUUAGGGGUUCUGAGAGGAAGGUCCCCCACACUGGUACUGAGACACGGACCAGACUCCUACGGGAGGCAGCAGUGAGGAAUAUUGGUCAAUGGGCGAGGGCCUGAACCAGCCAAGUCGCGUGAAGGAGGACUGCCCUAUGGGUUGUAAACUUCUUUUACAAGGGAAUAAAAUGAGAUACGUGUAUUUUAUUGCAUGUACCUUGGGAAUAAGCAUCGGCUAACUCCGUG